rnacentral:misc_RNA from 1 species
AAUAUUCCCCUACGGAAUUUGAGAGGGCGGGGUGCAAAAUAGCCCCCUGCGUGAAGGUCCAGAAGAGUACUGCAGGAAAGCUGCCGAAGCUGUGGAGUGUUGGUUUGUGCUUGUGGAUCAGUGGUGGUGACGUGAAUAGUAGGAGGUUUGAAGAUGAGUUCACGUAGUAGGAGCAAUAGCAGGAGUCGGAGUACGAGUCGGAGCCAGAGUAGGAGCCGGAGCAGGAGUCCCCAAGAUCGCAGAAUUCAAUCUCGUCGCCAUUCUUAUCGUAAUGCUCCUUAUAGGAGAGAGACGCAUCGUGGUUUCAGCCAAAGCAAUUUGUGCAACAAGUGCAAGCGUCCUGGUCAUUUUGCAAGAGAAUGCCCCAAUGUAGCUGUAUGUAACAAUUGUGGU